UACGUAGGGGGCAAGCGUUGUCCGGAAUCACUGGGUUUAAAGGGUGCGUAGGCGGUCAGAUAAGUCAGUUGUGAAAUACCCCGGCUUAACCGGAGGAACUGCGAUUGAUACUGUUUGACUUGAAUCAGGUUGAGGUAGGCGGAAUGUGGCAUGUAGCGGUGAAAUGCUUAGAUAUGCCAUAGAACACCGAUUGCGAAGGCAGCUUGCUGGACCUGUAUUGACGCUGAGGCACGAAAGCGUGGGGAGCAAACAGG
rnacentral:rRNA from 1 species